rnacentral:rRNA from 1 species
GGUUAAGUGACUAAGCGUACACGGUGGAUGCCUAGGCAGUCAGAGGCGAUGAAGGGCGUGCUAAUCUGCGAAAAGCGUCGGUAAGGUGAUAUGAACCGUUAUAACCGGCGAUACCCGAAUGGGGAAACCCAGUGUGUUUCGACACACUAUCAUGUCAUGAAUACAUAGUGGCAUGAGGCGAACCGGGGGAACUGAAACAUCUAAGUACCCCGAGGAAAAGAAAUCAACCGAGAUUCCCCCAGUAGCGGCGAGCGAACGGGGAGGAGCCCAGAACCUGAAUCGGCUUGUGUGUUAGUGGAAGCGUCUGGAAAGUCGCGCAGUAAAGGGUGAUAGCCCCGUACACUAAAAUGCACAGGUCGUGAGUUCGAUGAGUAGGGCGGGACACGUGACAUCCUGUCUGAAUAUGGGGGGACCAUCCUCCAAGGCUAAAUACUCCUGACUGACCGAUAGUGAACCAGUACCGUGAGGGAAAGGCGAAAAGAACCCCGGCGAGGGGAGUGAAAUAGAACCUGAAACCGUGUACGUACAAGCAGUGGGAGCACCUUCGUGGUGUGACUGCGUACCUUUUGUAUAAUGGGUCAGCGACUUAUAUUUUGUAGCAAGGUUAACCGUAUAGGGGAGCCGUAGGGAAACCGAGUCUUAACUGGGCGUCUAGUUGCAAGGUAUAGACCCGAAACCCGGUGAUCUAGCCAUGGGCAGGUUGAAGGUUGGGUAACACUAACUGGAGGACCGAACCGACUAAUGUUGAAAAAUUAGCGGAUGACUUGUGGCUGGGGGUGAAAGGCCAAUCAAACCGGGAGAUAGCUGGUUCUCCCCGAAAGCUAUUUAGGUAGCGCCUCGUGAACUCAUCUUCGGGGGUAGAGCACUGUUUCGGCUAGGGGGCCAUCCCGGCUUACCAAACCGAUGCAAACUCCGAAUACCGAAGAAUGUUAUCACGGGAGACACACGGCGGGUGCUAACGUCCGUCGUGAAGAGGGAAACAACCCAGACCGCCAGCUAAGGUCCCAAAGUCAUGGUUAAGUGGGAAACGAUGUGGGAAGGCAUAGACAGCCAGGAUGUUGGCUUAGAAGCAGCCAUCAUUUAAAGAAAGCGUAAUAGCUCACUGGUCGAGUCGGCCUGCGCGGAAGAUGUAACGGGGCUAAACCAUGCACCGAAGCUGCGGCAGCGACGCUUAGGCGUUGUUGGGUAGGGGAGCGUUCUGUAAGCCGUUGAAGGUGGCCUGUGAGGGUUGCUGGAGGUAUCAGAAGUGCGAAUGCUGACAUAAGUAACGAUAAAGCGGGUGAAAAGCCCGCUCGCCGGAAGACCAAGGGUUCCUGUCCAACGUUAAUCGGGGCAGGGUGAGUCGACCCCUAAGGCGAGGCUGAAAAGCGUAGUCGAUGGGAAACAGGUUAAUAUUCCUGUACUUGGUGUUACUGCGAAGGGGGGACGGAGAAGGCUAGGCUAGCCGGGCGACGGUUGUCCCGGUUUAAGCGUGUAGGGGGUGUGACCUGGUAAAUCCGGUUGCAUAUCAACCCUGAGGCGUGAUGACGAUGCACUACGGUGCAGAAGUAGUUGAUGCCCUGCUUCCAGGAAAAUCCUCUAAGCUCCAGGUAACAUUAAAUCGUACCCCAAACCGACACAGGUGGUCAGGUAGAGAAUACCAAGGCGCUUGAGAGAACUCGGGUGAAGGAACUAGGCAAAAUGGUGCCGUAACUUCGGGAGAAGGCACGCUGGCAUGUAGGUGAAGUCCCUUGCGGAUGGAGCUGAAGCCAGUCGAAGAUACCAGCUGGCUGCAACUGUUUAAUAAAAACACAGCACUGUGCAAACACGAAAGUGGACGUAUACGGUGUGACGCCUGCCCGGUGCUGGAAGGUUAAUUGAUGGGGUCAGCCGCAAGGCGAAGCUCUUGAUCGAAGCCCCAGUAAACGGCGGCCGUAACUAUAACGGUCCUAAGGUAGCGAAAUUCCUUGUCGGGUAAGUUCCGACCUGCACGAAUGGCGUAAUGAUGGCCAGGCUGUCUCCACCCGAGACUCAGUGAAAUUGAACUCGCUGUGAAGAUGCAGUGUACCCGCGGCAAGACGGAAAGACCCCGUGAACCUUUACUAUAGCUUGACACUGAACAUUGAGCCUUGAUGUGUAGGAUAGGUGGGAGGCUUUGAAGCGUGGACGCCAGUCUGCGUGGAGCCAUCCUUGAAAUACCACCCUUUAAUGUUUGAUGUUCUAACUCGGCCCCGUGAUCCGGGGUGAGGACAGUGUCUGGUGGGUAGUUUGACUGGGGCGGUCUCCUCCCAAAGAGUAACGGAGGAGCACGAAGGUUAGCUAAUCACGGUCGGACAUCGUGAGGUUAGUGCAAAGGCAUAAGCUAGCUUGACUGCGAGAGUGACGGCUCGAGCAGGUACGAAAGUAGGUCUUAGUGAUCCGGUGGUUCUGAAUGGAAGGGCCAUCGCUCAACGGAUAAAAGGUACUCCGGGGAUAACAGGCUGAUACCGCCCAAGAGUUCAUAUCGACGGCGGUGUUUGGCACCUCGAUGUCGGCUCAUCACAUCCUGGGGCUGAAGUAGGUCCCAAGGGUAUGGCUGUUCGCCAUUUAAAGUGGUACGCGAGCUGGGUUUAGAACGUCGUGAGACAGUUCGGUCCCUAUCUGCCGUGGGCGUUGGAAGAUUGAGAGGGGUUGCUCCUAGUACGAGAGGACCGGAGUGAACGCACCACUGGUGUUCGGGUUGUCAUGCCAAUGGCAUUGCCCGGUAGCUAAGUGCGGAAAAGAUAAGCGCUGAAAGCAUCUAAGCGCGAAACUUGCCUCAAGAUGAGUCUUCCCUGGGCCUUUAAGGCCCCUGAAGGAACGUUUAAGACUAAGACGUUGAUAGGCUGGGUGUGUAAGUGCAGCGAUGCAUUGAGCUAACCAGUACUAAUGAUCCGUGAGGCUUAACCUU